rnacentral:rRNA from 1 species
UACGUAGGUGGCAAGCGUUAUCCGGAUUUAUUGGGUGUAAAGGGCGUGUAGACGGCCUUGCAAGUCUGGUGUGAAAGCCCGGGGCUCAACCCCGGGACUGCAUUGGAAACUGCAUGGCUGGAGUGCAGGAGAGGUAAGCGGAAUUCCUAGUGUAGCGGUGAAAUGCGUAGAUAUUAGGAGGAACACCAGUGGCGAAGGCGGCUUACUGGACUGUAACUGACGUUGAGGCUCGAAAGCGUGGGGAGCAAACAGG